rnacentral:rRNA from 1 species
AUGGCGCGGUGCAGCAACGGGCUGCUGGGCCUGCUGAACGCGGGGGUGCUGGUCCUCGCCCUCGUCGUCCUCGGCGGCGGCAUCUGGCUGAGCCACCGGGCCGCCACCACCGACUGCGAGCGGUUCCUGGAGCGGCCGGUCAUCGCGCUGGGUGCCCUGCUCCUGGCGCUCUCCCUCGCGGGCCUCGCGGGGUCCCUCUGCCGCGCCUCCUGCCUCCUCUGGCUCUACCUCGUCGCGCUCUUCCUCCUCAUCGCGCUCCUCCUCGUCUUCACCGUCUUCGCCUUCGUCGUCACCAACCGCGGCGCCGGCUCCGUCGUCUCCGGGAGGGGCUACAGGGAAUACCGCCUCGGGGAGUACUCCACCUGGCUCCAGCGCCGGGUCGAGAGCGCCGGCAACUGGGCCAAGAUCCGCAGCUGCCUCCGCGAUGGCGGGGUCUGCCAGAGGUUCGGCGCCAGGGGGGAGUCCCUGCAGCAGUUCGUCACCAACAACCUCUCCCCGAUUCAGUCUGGAUGCUGCAAACCCCCAACUGGGUGCAACUUCACCUACCAGAGCGAGACCGUCUGGGCCAAACCUACUGGCUUCAACUCUACCAACGACCCCGACUGCAACACGUGGUCGAAUGAUCCGAGGGCCCUCUGCUAUGACUGCCAGUCAUGCAAGGCUGGCGUGCUCGCUAAUGUGAAGAAUGACUGGAAGAAAAUCGCCACCGUCAACAUCAUAUUCCUCAUCUUCCUCAUCAUCGUCUACUCUGUUGGGUGCUGCGCUUUCAGGAAUAACAGGCGGGACAACUCGUACCCAGCCUGGAAGUGA